UUCCCCUCAGCGAGAUAAAAUUGCAUGGAGCCACCGCUGCGAUCCUAACCGUCAAAAAAUACAAUCCUACGGCAGUCAGUGCAGAUGGCCUGGAUAGUCUACGAUACAAUCCUACGCAGUCAUGCCAUACACACUUGCCGGCGAAUCACGAAUCCCGUCCCAAGUUCAGUACUCGCAUAGCCUUCUUCCCACCGAGCAGCCCCUCACGAACCCUAGCUUGCUAUAAACCCUACUCCUUCCCUUCCCCGAUGGAUCCGCAGCAGCCGGAGCCUGUCAGCUAUCUGUGCGGAGUUGUUCAAUAUGAAGCUCGCUGAAGACAAGGAACAAACAUCAUUCACUGUUAAGUGUGUGCCCUGAGACAAAGCUACUACAAUGGAGAAAUGUAUUAGGCAGUACUCGCUCAUAGGUAGUAAUCUUUCCAUUGGACUUUGGCUUGAAGUGGUAAAAACUUGUCAAACCUGUAUUGAGAUUUUAGACAUUUGAGGAUUGAGAUUAUGCAUCUUUGAAAGCUAGAUUUUAAAAAAUGGUUAUUAUUGUUGUCGCCAGGAAUAAGGUGCCCUGUUGGUUGCACGCAGGCUCUGGCUGUUAUUUGCUGCCUGUAUCGUUAUUACUACCUCUGUAACUAUUUUAAGACGUUUUUGUAGUUAAAAUUGAACUGUAAAAAUGUCUUAUAUUUAGUUAUGAAGGUAGUACCUUAA